UGUUGACCUCGAAUCAGGUAGGAAUACCCGCUGAACUU
rnacentral:rRNA from 1 species